rnacentral:rRNA from 1 species
GGGAACCUCACCAGGCCCGUACACCGGAAGGAUUGAUAGAUUGAGAGUGGUGGUGCAUGGCCGUUCUUAGUUGGUGGAGUGAUUUGUCUGGUUAAUUCCGUUAACGAACGAGACCCCAGCCUGCUAAAUAAUCACGCUAAUGACUUUUCAUUGGCGAUUGGUUUCUUAGAGGGACAUGUAGUAUAAAACUACAGGAAGAUUGGGGCAAUAA